rnacentral:rRNA from 1 species
AUUGAACGCUGGCGGCAGGCCUAACACAUGCAAGUCGAACGGUAACAGGAAGAAGCUUGCUUCUUUGCUGACGAGUGGCGGACGGGUGAGUAAUGUCUGGGAAACUGCCUGAUGGAGGGGGAUAACUACUGGAAACGGUAGCUAAUACCGCAUAACGUCGCAAGACCAAAGAGGGGGACCUUCGGGCCUCUUGCCAUCGGAUGUGCCCAGAUGGGAUUAGCUAGUAGGUGGGGUAACGGCUCACCUAGGCGACGAUCCCUAGCUGGUCUGAGAGGAUGACCAGCCACACUGGAACUGAGACACGGUCCAGGCUCCUACGGGAGGCAGCAGUGGGGAAUAUUGCACAAUGGGCGCAAGCCUGAUGCAGCCAUGCCGAGUGUAUGAAGAAGGCCUUCGGGUUGUAAAGUACUUUCAGCGGGGAGGAAGGGAGUAAAGUUAAUACCUUUACUCAUUGACGUUACCCGCAGAAGAAGCACCGGCUAACUCCGUG